rnacentral:rRNA from 1 species
CCUACGGGCGGCUGCAGUAGGGAAUAUUGGACAAUGGGCGAAAGCCUGAUCCAGCCAUGCCGCGUGCUAGAUGAAGGCCCUCUGGGUUGUAAAUAUCUUUUAUCUGGGAAGAAACAAUCUUAUUCUUAAGAUCUUGACGGUACCAGAGGAAUAAGCACCGGCUAACUCCGUGCCAGCAGCCGCAGUAAUACGGAGGGUGCAAGCGUUAUCCGGAUUAAAGGGGUUUAAGGCGUGCGGAGAAGUGAGGCGUGAAAGCUCCGAGCUUAACUUGGAAACUGCCAUUGAUACUGCCAGUCUUGAAUGUCGUAGAGGUAAGCGGAAUGUUGCAUGUAGCGGUGAAAUGCUUAGAUAUGUUACAGAACACCAAUUGCGAAGGCAGCUUACUAUGCGAUGAUUGACGCUGAGGCACGAAAGCGUGGGGAGCAAACAGGAUUAGAUACCCCUGUAGUC